rnacentral:ncRNA from 1 species
GAGGUUCUUCUCUGUAAUGGAGAGGAUGAAAAGGGAAUCAGGUGAGAAUCCUGAACAGUACCCGCUGCUGUGAGUCCCCAUCGUUGCUUCGUUUCACCUCGCAAAGCCACUGGUCUCGACCGAUACUCCAAGUCGACUACAUCAUGACCGGGAAGGCGUGAAACCGAAGAGGGGACAAGUCAGAAGACCUGCCUUGCGC